GAUGAACGCUAGCGGCAGGCUUAAUACAUGCAAGUCGAGGGACAGCACAGGUAGCAAUUCUGGGUGGUAACCGGCAAACGGGUGCGGAACACGUACACAACCUUCCUUUAAGUGGGGGAUAGCCCAGAGAAAUUUGGAUUAAUACCCCGUAAUAUAGUUGAAUGGCAUCAUUUGAUUAUUAUAGCUACGGCGCUUAAUGAUGGGUGUGCGGCUUCUUAGAUAGUUGGCGGGGUAACGGCCCACCAAGUCUACGAUCAGUAGCUGAUGUGAGAGCAUGAUCAGCCAACCGGGCACUGAGACACGGGCCCGACUCCUACGGGAGGCAGCAGUAAGGAAUAUUGGUCAAUGGACGCAAGUCUGAACCAGCCAUGCCGCGUGAAGGAUUAAGGUCCUCUGGAUUGUAAACUUCUUUUAUUUGGGACGAAAAAGGGCCUUUCUAGGUCAACUGACGGUACCAGAUGAAUAAGCACCGGCUAACCCCGUGCCAGCCGCCGCAGUAACAC
rnacentral:rRNA from 1 species